rnacentral:rRNA from 1 species
UACGAAGGGGGCUAGCGUUGUUCGGAAUUACUGGGCGUAAAGCGCGCGCAGGCGGGUCAUCAAGUCAGGGGUGAAAGCCCAGAGCUCAACUCUGGAACUGCCCUUGAAACUGGUGACCUUGAGUACGGGAGAGGUGAGUGGAAUUCCCAGUGUAGAGGUGAAAUUCGUAGAUAUUCGGUGGAACACCAGUGGCGAAGGCGACUCGCUGGACUGAUACUGACGCUGAGGUGCGAAAGCGUGGGGAGCAAACAGG